rnacentral:lncRNA from 1 species
AACUAAGACAACUACUACACUUCUUCCAACUACUACUUCUACAUCCUACUAUCUCUACAUUUUCUCUACCUUAUCAACUACUCCUUUCANAACCUNNANAUACUAACAGUGGUACCAGAGCUACGUUCGGUCAUCUACUNGGCGUAGAUAAAAUUUUCAACUACCUUAAACAAAACUAUAACCCCAUUUUGUACUACCUCCAAAAUAUCUUCUCAACUCAUGGCUACUACCAAUCAAACAUCAUCACUUCCAGUACCUAUUUUCACAGGAGAAAAUUAUGAUUUCUGGAGUGUCAAAACGAAGACAUUCUUCCGCUCUCAAGAUAUAUGGGACAUCAUAGAAGAAGGAUUCACUAUUCUAGAAGACACCUCCACUCUUACUGCAGCUCAAAAGAAGGAGUUGAAGGAAAACAAGCAGAAGGAUUCAAGGGCUUUAUUUGUUCUUCAACAAGCAGUUGAUGACACAAUUUUUCCAAGGAUAAUUGGUGCCAC